UGCAACUGCACUCUUCUGGUCCACGUUUGUUAUGGCUUGAGCUGAGCUUUUGCUCGCCAUCCACCACUGCUGUUUGCCUCCGUCGCAGACCUACCACUGACUCCCAUCCCUCCGGAUCCGGCAGGGUGUCUGCUGUGCUCCUGAUCCAGUGAGGCGCCCAUUGCCACUCCCGAUCGGGCUAAAGGCUUGCCAUUGUUCCUGCACGGCUAAGUGCCCGGGUUCGUCCUAAUUGAGCUGAACACUAGUCACUGUGUUCCAAGGUUCUCUUCCGUGACCCAUAACUUCUAAUAGAGCUAUAACACUCACCACAUGGCCCAAGAUUCCAUUCCUUGGAAUCCUGUGAGGCCAAGAACCUCAGGUCAGAGAAUAUGAGGCUUGCCACCAUCUUGGAAGUGACCCGCCGCCGUUUUGGAAGUAGCCUACCACCAUCUUGGGAGCUCUGGGAGCAAGGACCCCUGGUAACAUUUUGGAGACCACGAAGGGACAUCCAAAGUGACCAUUCUGUCCUCUGUGGACACAGCAUCCAUCCCUUCCAGAGAACACAGCAUUCAAGGCAUCGUAUCAGAAGCACAGGACUGUGCUCUCACCGGACACCAAACCUGUCAGUGUCUUGAUCUUGGACUUCCAGCUUCAGAACUGCCAUUGUAGACAAUUUAUCCUAUUACCCCAGAAGCGACUGAGAUGGUGGAAAUUAAUGAUUAGGAAAAAGAAGGCCAGAGGAGAAGUAAAAAACAGGGAAAGGCCAGUCUAUGGAGCAGUAAGAAUACACACAACAUUCAUCGAUUAAGGUUGUCAUCUUACACUGUGCCCCAAAACACCAUAUAAUUUUGUGAUGUCCCAGAACAAUUACAAUAGUAACAAUCUAGAGCACUGAUCACAAAUCAUCCUAAAAGAUACAAUAAUAAUAAAAAUGUUUGAAAUAUUGUGAAUAUUAUGUGACACAGACACAAGGUGAGCACAUGCUGUCAAAAAAAAAUGGUGCCAUAAACUUGCUUGACACAAGGUUGCACAAACCUUCAAUUUGUAAAAAAAAUGUAAUACCUGAGAAGCACAAUAAAGCAAAAUGC
rnacentral:lncRNA from 10 species